rnacentral:rRNA from 1 species
AACGAACGCUGGCGGCGUGCCUUAAGCAUGCAAGUCGUACGGGGUAUGGCUAAAGUCAUACCUAGUGGCGAACGGGUGAGUAACACGUAGUUAGGCAACCUAGAGACGGGGAUAGCCACGGGAGACCGUGGGUAAUACCCGAUAGUCCCUAAGGGGUAAAGGGAGCGAUCCGCUUUAGGAGCUGACUGCGGCCCAUCAGGUAGUUGGUGGGGUAAAGGCCUACCAAGCCUAUGACGGGUAGCCGGCCUGAGAGGGUGUACGGCCACACUGGGACUGAGACACGGCCCAGACUCCUACGGGAGGCAGCAGCUAGGAAUUUUCCGCAAUGGGCGAAAGCCUGACGGAGCGACGCCGCGUGGGGAAGAAGGUCCUACGGGAUUGUAAACCUCUUUUCUGCGGGAGGAGAAAGGACUGUACCGCAGGAAUAAGUCCCGGCAAACUACGUG